rnacentral:rRNA from 1 species
UACGUAGGGGGCAAGCGUUGUCCGGAUUUAUUGGGCGUAAAGAGCGCGUAGGCGGCCAGGUAGGUCUGGUGUGAAAACUCGAGGCUUAACCUCGAGAUGUCAUCGGAAACCAUCUGGCUAGAGUCCGGAAGAGGAGAGUGGAAUUCCUGGUGUAGCGGUGAAAUGCGCAGAUAUCAGGAAGAACACCAAUGGCGAAAGCAGCUCUCUGGGACGGUACUGACGCUGAGACGCGAAAGCAUGGGGAGCGAACAGG